rnacentral:lncRNA from 1 species
GUAAAGACAAUCUAUUUCUGACCAAAAGUUAAUUUUACUUUUUUUCCUUAACUGCUUUCCACCUUUGAAAUUUUCAGACUUUCCCAGAAGAUCACUAAUAAUAUUGUUUAUUUUCUUCCAAGAAAUGCUGACAUUGACCAGGUAAGCCAUUACUAAAGAAUUUCUGUGAGCCUCUUGUUGAAUUUUUACAAAGAAGGGCAGAAAAAGAUGUAGAAUGUUUCCUUAUCAGAGAACCCAUUUAUGAGAAAUUCUUUGCUUGCUGACUGUUAGUAACAAAUGGAAGUGUAUAACCGUUGAGUCUAUGUCCAUUUGAUCUUCAUCUCUCUGACUUCUGAUGUCAAACACAAAUAAAGCACACCAGUCUUUUCAUAAAGCUGUGUUGAAAGAAAGGUGGAAUGUCUUGAGUUUCAUAUGCUGCUCGGCUAAAGUAGCCAAGGUCUACCUUUACUGAAACCUGCCUUGAAAAUACAGGUUUUAAAUAUUUCUACAAAUAAUAACAUAACCAAAGUUAUAGAUAGACAGAAACUUUAAUUUGGUCAGGAAAAACUAUUUCCAUUAUUUCUUCAAUAGUGUUUCUACCACUCUUUCCUUUUUCUGGGCCAUCCAUUUUUCUUCUUUAUAUUUUUCUGGCAUUUUGUUAUAUGUCCUGUUUAUUUUAUAUGUAUGUGUUAUCUAUGCUUUCAGUGUCAUGUCUUAGAGUUUUAUAGUUUCAGCUAAGUAGCUCUUCAAAGCCAAUGAUACUCUGAUCCACUGGGAAAAAUUCUUUUUUAUUUAUUUUCUAGGAUGAAGACUAAGUAUAAAUCUUUUAAAGCCCCCCCCCCACCAAGUGAUUAUAAUGCAAUCAACAGUUUAGAUUCCCUGGGUUAAAAGAAGAAAAAAAUGAAAUUAACAGUCUGAGCUCUUGCUCUGAGUUAGAAGGAUGCAAAAUUUGAUCUUGCUCUCAUUUAUUUAUGACACAUUUUGCCUAAACAUUAAGCCUUCCAAAAUAGUAUGUUAUACCAAUGAUAAGAAAAAAACCGCACAUCCCUUGGGAUCAUGAGAUUUUUUUAAUAUCACUUGAUAUUACAUCUGUUAUCUGCCACUCAGAAGGCUCAGCUGCUUCCUAGACUUCCAGAUAAGGCUAAGCUUACUGAUUCCAAUUUAUUUUUCUCACAUGUAAGCAUUAUGUUUAAUAACUGUCUCAUAAAAGACCAUAUGGUCUUUGCUGGGCUUUACUGUGAUUUUUAUAUUACAUAAAAAUAGGCUUAUUUGAGUAUGUGAAUAAAUACUAGUAAACUUACUGUUUAGCACAAAAAUCUCAGUGAUUAAAUUUUGUUCUAGUUGAAUGAACAUUUCCAUAAAGAUAAAGUUAACUUUUUUCUUAAUUCUGUUUUUGGCUUUCUUUGAAAACCUGCCAGAAUUAGGGUUUGUGGCACAUUCAUGCUUUCUACCUCUAGAGGGAGUAAUGACACCAGAAAAUAAUAAAAGAAACUGAUUAUGAGUACACUAUUUUGUUUGGUAUUGAAUUUAGAUCAAAUUACAGUAGGAAAUGAACUUUUUCUUAAAACAGAAAAUUCACCACGUGAGACACUUUAAGUGAGAGAGAGAGCACUACAAGAUCGAAAGAAAUCAGAGUUACAAAGAAGUUAACGUUUUUGUUAGAGGGACAUUUAAAACGUCAAAACAACGUGAAUUUACAAAUGAACUGUGUUCCCAAAGUUUAUGAAUCUGCAGCAUUUUUCCCAUAGAAAUGUCUAUAAAGAAAUUGGGAGAUUAUACUUUGCAUACCAUUAUAUUAUCCUAAACUGGAUACGAACUGAACUGAAUAUAUUGCAGCUUGUCUUGAAACCUUUCCAUGUAGAUGAUGGUGAUUUUUCUCUGAAUCCAGUGAAAUAUUUUUCUAGGUCCCCUAUUACAGGUCACACAGCCCUUGUUAGCCAAACUCACACUAUUAAACCUAAGACUGGAUAAUUUAGAUAAUAUUUUUGUGAGAGGCACUUUGGAUAUAAGGUAUAUCUCACUCUCUGCAAUUGCUGUUAAAACCUGGAAGCUCAUCUUAGAUUGCAUUCAAGGAACUUAUGUUUGUAUCUUGUUUUGUUUUCUUUUAUUUCAUUCCUUUGACAGCUGUAGAAUUCCAGCCAUUUUCCAAUUUUGGAUCUACUAUGCUUUGCAAAUACGUAAAGAUUCUUUUUUAAAUAGUAAAUCUAUUCAGAGAAAGACCUUUGAGAGCAGACUAGAUUGGUUAUGCUUCAGUGGAAGCAAACACCACCUUCCUGUGAAAUCCCUGUGGGUGGAAUCUCUAACAUAAAUUAUAGUCUUGUCUUUUAGCUAGGCAUUGGGGUAAUUAGAGGAGGGCCCCUGGUCCAUUGGAUGUGGUCGCUUCUUAUCCUUUUUUGAUUUUAUAACAAAAAUACAUAAGUUUAUAAAAGUGAUGUCAUCUGUACUUUUCAGUAGAAAUUAAGUCACUUGGAUUUUUCUGUUCAUACCAAUAUAGAGAACAGGGUAACAUUGAGCAGCAUCCGUAAGAAUUGUGUUAAAAAAUAACUGAAGCCCCUCCAUCAAAUGAUUCUUGUUCCUUAUCUAACACACCCCACCUUCCUUGGCUUCUUUUUAUUUAUAUACAUAUAUAUAUUUUUGUAGUUAUAGGUAGACACAAUAUUUUAUUAUUUAUGUGGUGCUAAGGAUCGAACCCAAUGCUUCACGCAUGCUAGGCGAGCGCUCUACCUCUGAGCCACAACUCUAGCCCCCUUUCUUGGCUUCUUUAAACAUUCAUUCUAUUAACACUUGAGCCAAGACCCCAUUUAUUUCAUUUACUCAUAAAGUGGGGAAACAAUUGCAAAUUAACAUGUUUAGGUAGAACAUUAUACAGUUGUUUGAGUUGUAGCUUUAAGUAUAGAAAUUGAUGUUAGAUUUAGUCAGGAUAUCUAUCUCAUCUUUCUAGUUGGCAGAAUUCACUAGACUUUUUUUUAGAUUUUAUUUCAGAGAGGGCUGACUGGUAGAUCACAUGCUUAGCAUGUACAAGGCCCUGGGUUCAGUUGCCAACAUCAGAAAAAUUAAAUAAAUUUUAUUUCAUAAUGUCUGCAAGAGGGAAAAAUUCUUAAUUGUAGCAUUGAUCACACUUCUAGUUUGUUUGUUUUGAGGUGGUACAUAGACCCAGGGACAUUCUACUACUGAGCUAAAACUCUAGCCUCUAUUCGUUUAUUUUCAGUCAUUGGUUGGCUGAUUUGUAGAUAGAUAGGUAGAUAGAUAGAUAGGAAUGAGGUACUCAUUUAUGGGUAAUAUAUCUAAAAUAUGGAAGAAUAGAGUUGUAUGCAUUUGAAUAACAAACUAUUUAUAAAUAAGAGAAUUUAUUAGAUAACAUUGUUAUUUAGGAAAUAUUUUAAAUAUAACUAAAUUUAGCUCAUUAGCAUUUUCUAAUAGUUUUGACUAAAUAUGGUAAAUAUUUACCACUGUUUUAUUUACAAAUAUUAUUUUAGUUUUAAGUUACUAUAGUAUCCACUUAUUUCAUAAAUGGAAAAUUAAGGCCUUAAUGGUAUUUUAUUUAGAGGUAGAAUUAAUAAAAAAUUAAUUAAUAUCAAAAUGUUCUGAAUUAAAUUAAUACUGUGGAAAUCUGAUCUAAUGGUAACAUUCUUGUGUAGCUAAAGCUGUAUCCAUAAGGUAAGUACUAUAAAGUCAUUCCAACAGAUGAAGGACCCUUAGUCCAGGUUUAGGAACCAGAAGCAUGACAGAAUAGGAAGAGGCCUAAAGACUGGAUUGAGUUUGUACUUAUAGGAAUUGUAGUCUCUAAAACAGGUGAACCUCAAAAUAGCUUGCUUUUACAACUCAAGAGCACACAGAGAUGUGUUCAUGCUACUAAACUUGUUAGUUUACACUGCAUUGUAUACAUUGUAUACAUUGUAUACAUAUUGUGUUAGUCAGCUUUGUGUUGCUGUGACCAAAAUACCUGAUGAUAACAACUUAGAGGAGGGGAAAGUUAUUUUGCUCAUGGAUGCAGAGAAUCAGUCCAUGGCCAGCCCCGCUAUAGUCAAUUGCUCUGGGCUCUAGGUAAGGCAGAACCUCAUGGCAUAGAGUAGCUGCUCCGUUCAUGGCAGCCAGAAAGCAGAGAGAUGGGAGAAGGAACAAGGACUCUGAACCAUUUCAGAGCACUCCCCCAGUGCACCUCCUCCAGCCAUGCCCCCACCUGCUUACAGUUACCACUCAGUCCAUUCAGACUAGGAUGGACUGGUUAGGUUACAGCUCUCCAGUUUCAUAGUGUGGCCUCUGAAUGUUCCUGUAUUAAUACAGAAGCUUUGCAGGAACUCCUCAUAUUCGAACCAUGAUACAUUUACAGCAUAGAAGUUUAAUGAAUGCUUCUUGGGUAAGUGGAUACUUAAGAUCCAUAGAGUUCUCCUGAACAUGUCAUUGACUUAUUAUAACACUUUGGAGUAUUUAUGUCAAGUUAUCAACCUGAUUUUAUUGGUGAAUAAACUAGGAAAGUUUGCCUAGCUAUCCUGCCACAUAAUGGCAUAGUCAGCACCUUAAUACCUUGCUGUCUCCCACAGACACAGUAUUCAUUGCUAAAAAGAAACAGGUUCAUCUCUUGUCACAAGAGUAGCUCACCAAGAGAUUGGGACAGUCAUUAGAAUUUGAGGUGACAAGAGAAGCAAGGGGAAUUAUAAAAGAAUUUCUGCAGAAUCAGCUCUGGUCCAUUCCUUCUUAAAGGUGAGAAAGACAACAGAGAAUUAAAAAUUUAUGACAAAGGGAAAUGCCAUGACCUGCACCAGCUGUUAAUUCAGAAACCAGCAAGGGGCAAUGGGGGAAUAGAGAAAAGACAGACACACAAAGAAAGAAAAAGCUGGGGACUGGUGGCUCUUCAUCCCCUGAUGAGGGAUGAAGAACUACCCAGAACCAACUCAGCACAUUUAUUAUCUAGAUUUUAACAUCAAAAGGGUUUUUUUGGGGGGGGGGGGCAUGUAGCAGGGAUUUAACUCAGGGGCACUCAAUCACUGAGCUACAUCUACAACCCUAUUUUGUAUUUUAUUUAGAGUUAGGGUCUCACUGAGUUGCUUAGUACCUCGCUUUUGCUGAGGCUGGCUAUGAACUCAGGAUCCUUCUUCCUCAUCUUCCUGAGCUGCUGGGAUUACAGGGGUGCACCACUGCCCCCAAAUCAAAAGGGUUUUCUAUGAGAAAGUUUCUUCAAAGUAGGGCUGGGGAUGUGGCUCAAGCGGUAGCGUGCUCGCCUGGCAUGCGUGCGGCCCGGGUUUGAUCCUCAGCACCACAUACAAACAGAGAUGUUCUGUCUGCCGAAAACUAAAAAAUAAAUAAAUAUUAAAAAAUUCUCUCUCUCUCUCUCUCUCAAAGCAAGCAAGCUGAAGGACGAAGUCCAAUUUCAACUUUGUGCUCAUAAUUCUUUACCCCCAGGAACAGGCACCUGAACUCAGGGUCAAGACUGAUAGGCCUGUGGUAAGCCAGGAACCUCCUUUGAACAGGGCAUCACCAUAGUAAUUGGGCAGUCUCAACUGUGCCUUUGCACUAGGAGUUCACAGCUCAGGUGCACUCCUGUCACAGGAUAGUUCAAAGACUCAUUCAAAUCACCGCUCCCAACAGGGGAAGGCAUUUAUUGCAAAACUUGACCUGCCACAUGUGUUCUCUUAUUUAGUUAGUGGUAUGUUCUCUUAUUUAGUUAGUUGAUCAAGUCUGUUCCGUUCUUAAUAAAAUCACUGUAUAAUCACACAUUGCAAUUUGGAUAAAUUUGAUAGUUCCUAAUGUUUACUAGCAAGCUUUUCCUUUGGAGAGCUUGCUGCUAGAUGAUUAAAAUAGUAUUAUCCUGUGUUAUGCUACAUACAUGAUCAUUCUCUGAAGAGGCAAUGAAACUGUCAGGCCUUAUGAGCUGGGUUACAAAGACACAAGUUCACUUUUAGUCAAAUGAUUCUGAACAUAUCUUUUAUUUCUUUACUACCUUGAGUAAAUUUUCUUAGUAAAUGAUGUUAAUAGAAAAUAAAGGAAUGCCCAGCUUUUCUGUGCCACACAUGGUGCUACCUGUAAAUCCUUUACUAUUGGGGGUACUCUGGUCUGUUGUGCUUUAUGUAACUUAGGUUGUAAAGAACAGCCUUAUGUUUCCAGGAUCUGUUUCUGAGAAUAGGUAAGGGGAAAAUCUUAGUGAUCUGAUUUCCUGAAAUCAAUGUAGGUGAGCUUUUGAUACCUGGGAGGAAUUUUCUGACCUGGUCAGAUGCUCCUGUUGAUGAUUGGGGGCUUUUUAAAAUCACAUUUGUUUUAAUCAAGUAAAUAUUUGAAUGAAGAAAAAAACAGGAAAUAUCUGUGAGAGCCUGAAAUAGCAUUUAAAGAUUACCUGAAAUACUGUUAGCAAACAAAUUUAAGAAAUUUAAUUUUUCUUUACUGCAUACAGGGAAAUAGACGAAAGUUUGAAUGUUGCCUGUUUGUCCAUUGGUAGUGUAUUUUCAAACCCCCCUCGCCCCUGAACUGUCCAUCAUAAAUGUUUUUACUUAUUUUUAUUUUUGUGUAGUUUCUUGGUUGUUGGUUGGGUUUUCAUUUGUUGCUUUUUAUUUGAUUUUUUCAUAUUUUUAUUCAUGUAUUACUAUUACACACAAUAUUGUGAUUUUUUUUUACAUAUUCAUACAUGCACAUGAUAUAUAACAAUAUAAUUUGGUAGUUAUCAUUCCCCAGGAUUUCUUUUUUUUUUUUUUUUUUUUAUGCCUUUAUUUUUAUCUGGUGCUGAGGAUCGAACCCAGGGCCCUGCAUGUGCUAGGUGAGCGCUCUACCACUGAGCCACAACCCCAGCCCUCCCCAGGAUUUCUUCCUCCUUCCCUUUCCUCUACUCCACUGGUUUCUCUUUGCUCUCCUUGAGAUUCUCCACGCCUUUUUUUUUUCCUUCCUUUCUAGCUUCAUAUAAAACAAAACAUACAGCACUUGAUUUUCUGAAUGUGGCUUAUUUUGCUUAAUAUAAGAUUCUUGAGUUCCACCCAUUUUCCUAUAGAUGGCAUAAUUUCAUUCUUUAUGGCUGAAUGAAACUUCAUGGUGUAUAUAUACCACAUUUUCUUUAUCCAUUCAUCCAUUGAUGGACAAGUAGGCAGGUUUCAUAAUUUGGCUAUUAUGCAUUAUACUGUAAACAUGGGUAUACAUGUAUCUAUAGUAAGAUGACUUUAAUUCUUUAAGAUAAAUACCAAGGAGUGUUUUAGCUAAGUCAUCUGGUGGUUUCAUUUCUAGUCUUUUGAGGAGCCUCCAUACUAACUUCCAUAGUAGUUGUACUAAUUUACAAUCCUACCAACAGUACAAAAGUGUUCCUUCUACCCCCCCACAUCAUCUUCAGCAUUUAUUAUUAUUUGUAUUUUUGAUGGCUGCCAUUCUGACUGGAAUGAGAUGAAAUUUCAAUGUAGUUUUGAUUUACAUUCCCCUCAUUGAUAAAGAUGUAGAACAUUUUUUCAUAUAUUUGUUGGUCAUUUGUUUCUUUUGAGAAGUGUAUACUUAGUUUAUUUGCCCAUUUUUUAUAGGGUUAUUUGAUUGGGGUGGUGUUUUGAGAUUUUUAUAUAUUCUGGAUAUUAAUCUUCUGCAGAAAAAUAGCUAGCAAAGGUUUUUUGCUAUUCUGUAGGAUCUCUCUUUACAUUCUUGAUUACUUCCUUUGCUCUGUAGAGCUUUUUAAUUUGAUGUUAUCCCAUUUAUUUAUUCUUGAUAUUAUUUCCUGAGCUUUAGGGGUCCUAUUGAGGGAAGUCGUUGCCUGCACCUGUAUGUUGGAAUGUUGGCCAUACUUUUUUUCCUAGAAGUUACUAGGAACAGUUCUAUUCUAAUUCCUAAGUCUUUGAUUCAUUUUGAGUUGACUUUUGUGCAGGAUGAGAGAUUAAGGUCUAGUCUCAUUCUUCUACAUAUGGAUAACCUGUCUUCCAGCACCAUUUGUUUAAAUGGCUAUCUUCUAGCCAGCAUACUUUUGGUACCUUUGUCCUGGAUCAGAUUACUGUAUCUCUGUGAGCUUAUUUUUGUGUCUUCUGUUCUGUUCCAUUGGUUGAUGUCUGUUUUUAUGCCAGUACUAUGCAGUUUUUGUUAGUAUCACUCUGUGGUAUAAUUUGAAAGCAAGGAUUGUGAUGCCUCCAGAAAUGCUUUCCUUUUUUUUUUUUUUUUGGCUUAGAAUUGCUUUUGAUUACUUGGGUCUUUGAUUCUUCCAAAUGAAUUUUAAGACUAUUUUUUCUAGUUCAGUGAAGAAUGUCAUCUGUUUGGUUUUGAUUGUUUUGUUAUGUUUUGUUUUUGUGGUUUUGGGGGGGUGGGUACUGGGGAUUGAACCCAGGGACUCUUAAUCCCUGAGCCACAUCCCCAGCCAUUAUUAUUAUUAUUUUGAGACAAGAUCAUGCUAAGUUGCUUAGGGCCUUGCUAAAUUGUUGAGGUUAGCUUUGGCUUUGAACUGGUGAUCCUCCUGCCUCAGCCUCCCAAGUUACUGGGAUUAUAGGCUUGCGCCACUAUGCCCAGGCAUGUUGUUGAUAUUUUAAUAGUGAUUAUAUUGAAUCUGCAUAUUACUUUGGGUAAUAUGAUCAUUUUACAAUAUUAAUUCUAUGUAGCCACAAACAUGAGAAAUCUUUCCAUCUUCUAGUGUCUUCAGUUUCUUUCUUUAGUGUCCUAUAGUUUUCAUUAUCAAGGUCUUUCACCUUCUUGGUUAGAUUUAUUCCUUUUUGUUGUUGUCAUUUGCUUUUUAGUUAAUUUUUGUUUUUGUUUCAGGCUCUUGUGAAUGGGAAUCUUAGUAGAUUCAUUAUUACUAUAUAGGAAAGGUAUUGAUUUUGUAUGUUAAUUUUAUAUCCUACUACUUUGCUGAAUUUGUUAUUAACUAGCAAUCUUCUGAUGGAGUUCUUUGGCUCUUCUAACUAUAGGAUCAUAUCAUCUGCAAAUGGUGAUAAUUUGACUUUUUCUUUUCCUAUUUCUAUUCCUUUUGUUUCCUUCUCUUGCCUGGCUGCUCUGGCUAGACCUUCUAGUGCUAUAUUAACAGGAGUGGUGAGACUGGACAUCCUUGCUUGUUCCAGAAUUUUUCCCUAUUUACUAUGAUGUGGGCUUUGGGUUUGUUGUAUAUAGCUCAUAUGAUAUUGGGUUAAGUUCCUUCUGUCCCUUGUUUCUUUGAGGUUUUUAUCAUGAAUGGAUGCUGAAUUUUGUUAAAGGCUUUUUUCUGCAUCUAUUAAGGUGACUGAUUUUUGUCCUUAAUUCUGCCUAUUUGGUGAAUUACAUUUAUUGAUGGGUAUAUGUUAAAAUAUUUUUGUAUAGUUUUUAUUAGGGUAUAACAAAGGAAAAUGAGGGCAAAAAGUACCACAAGCCUUUACUUGGCCUGUUUGUCUUGAGGUUUCUCACAACCAUUAUUUCAGGUGCUUGCUGCUUUUGACAGAGGUCUGCAGGUUCUAUAAAAUACUCUUCAUUUUCAUCUGUUUUGUUUUGCAGUGUUAAGAAUCAAACCCAGGGCCUGGCACGUAAUAUACAUGCACUCUUAAUACUGAGCUAUACCCCCAGCUCACCUGGCUUAAUUGGUUUCUAACCAAGUUUUUGCAUAUUGCAAAUAAAGUGUUUCUGUCAUUAAUAUGUAUUGUGUAUUCUCCAAAUAGGAUCCAGUUGGGAGUGUAUUUGCUCUCAUUUGAUUAUGAAACUCUUAACUUUAUAUUCAUUUUCCUCUGGAGGGAAAAUGCAGUUUUGAAAGUUUGACUCUUAAAUCUUUGUUCCUUAAUUUUUACCACUUGUCAUCUUUGUUGUGACCUUUUUCUGUAUCUCCUUUCCAAGUCCCCAAAUUACAUGUUUAUUGCCUCACAUAGUAUCUAGUUGAUGAGCCAGGCAUGGUGACACACACCUGUUAUCCCAGAAAUUCUGUAGGCUGAGGCAGGUGGGUUGAAAAUUCAGAGCCAAGCCUCAGCAACUUAGCAAGGCCCUAAACAACAUAGAGAGACCCUGUCUCAAAAUAAAAAAGCUGGGGAUGUGGCACAGUGGUUAGGCACCCUGGAUUCAACCCCCCAUACCUAAACAAAUAAAUAAAUAAAUACCCAGUGAUGAAAGUGCAAUCUUAAGUUUUAAUUCCAGUAGUUGUCAUUUCUUUUAAUAAAUCUAACAUUUUUGGAUAGAUGUAACCCAGAGCUGCUAAUCUUUAUAUACCUAGCUAUUCUUCUCCUUCCCAUCUUCCCUCUAUCAUUUUCUCUCUUCUCCUGCCCUCAAUUUAUUAAAUUUUAAGAAAAGAGUAAAGAACCAAAUAACAUUUUGACCAGUAAACCUGCUGGUGAAAGUUGAAAAUAAUAAGGUUAAGUAUGCUUGAAUUGAAGCACAGUAUUAUUUACUUGAACAUAAGUCUUUGCAACUCCAAAUUUCUAAUCUUUAAAAUAAAUGAUUUGAAAGUACAGAAAGGCUAGAAAUUAUUUUUCACCAGAACACUUGAAAGUAACUUUCUUUCCCAAAUUUAUUUCUAAAUAGUAAAAAGGUAUGAGUUUUGUCAUCAUAUUUUGAUAAGUAGAUUCAGUAUUAAGAGAAACACUUGUUUUGUUUAUCAUCUAAUUCUCCCAACUUGACCAACCCUAGUAGAUUUUUCUGCUGUUGUUUCAUCUCUGCUUGGAUUUUCUCAACCCAGCCUGAUCUUUCCUCCUUCCCUUUCUCUUUGCCUCUUACCACAGUCUUACUCCCACCUUCCCUCAGAAAUUUCGGCUUACCAAUUUUACAUUCUUUAAAUAAAUUACCUGUUACAAGGAACAGGAAAAAUACUGCUCUUAAGUUUAUUUUAGAUGUACUGGUCAAAAUCAUUUUGCCCUUAUAAAAAAUUAGACAUAAAGAUAUUGAAAUAGGAUAUAAAACACUUAUUCCUAAUAAUUGCCUCUGUGCUGUAUUCACCUUAUCCUUGAUGUUUCUUACAGUUGUCCUGAUAAACUGAUUUCUGGUGAUCUGACCACCAGAUCUAGUUAAUAGAUCUCUGAGAGGUCAAAUGGAAAAAUAUACUGGGCCAAACCAAAACCUUAUCUAUAUAAGAACUUGGGGUAAAAUAUUGCUAGUGUGAAGUGAAAGAGGCCAGUGCAAGCAUUUUGUAAGAAAACUAAGUAUUCCUAAUACGUGGCUGUUUUUAAAUUUCUAGUUUCACGUAUGAACAAUGGGGUGUGAUUGUUUAUUUUUAAUCACUAUUAGACCUUCUGUGUUUGGCUUUUAUUUUCAUCUAUUUCUAUUGAUAAAAACACAACCAGUCUCUUUUUAUGCCCUGCUGGUAGUAGGGUUGGGGGGCUGAGGGUGACAUCAUUAACAUCUUGGUGGAGCAACUCUUUUUUAUUUUUCUUUUUUAAGAAGUUACCAUAGAAUGACCUGUUGGUUCUUCCCUAUUUCUGUAUCUGACUUUUUCUAACAGGAAGUUAAAAUAAUUCUAAAUUUAUACUCAUUGGUAAUGCAUAGUAAAUCUUACCUUCUACCAGUUGCUGGUUUAGUAGGUAAAAUACUAGUAAGAUCAGAUUCUUUCAGCCCUCAACCAAACUAGACUAAAUAAACAUCUCUUUUUACAAAAUAUAUAGUUAUAGUUUUGCCGAUUAUUGUAACAGAAAAUGCAUGUCUCCUGUGUUUAUAACUCAUCCUUAGAAUCAGUGUAUCUCUUUACCACUCAGUUAUUUCUGGUUUUUUUGUUUCAUUUUUUUUUUUAAUUGCCUAGGCUCUCCAUCGUAUUCCCCUUAUCCUUAAUCUUUCUUAUUGUUGUCCUGUUAAACUGAUUACUAGUGAUCUGAUCACCAGAUCUAGUUCAUAGAUCUCAGAGAGAUCAAAUAGAAAACUAUGCUGUGCCAAAAAAUAACACAAAAAGAAUAACAGGUGGAGGAGGUGGUCCAAAUUGGGAGAACAAUAAAAGGGAUCAAUUAGAGAAAGACAGACUUGUUGAUAAAGACUCCUCAUUUUAGUAGGGGUCAUAGUCUGGAUUAUAGCCAUCUUGCUAUCUGUUCUUAGUAUCAUGUAGCAGGCACUCAGAAAAUAUUGUUAAACAAUUAAGAGAGGAAGAUGAAAAUGAUAAGGUAAACAAGGCAGAGGUUUUCAGGAAAGGACUUAUUCUUUGAACACCUUUGUAAAUAAACAAACCUGUGAUUUAGGAAGAUUUUCUGUUCCUGAGUUCUUUAGCUUAUAGUAUCGCCGAGGUCAAGUCCUUUACAGUAGCAUAAAGAUAUGAUCUUACCCAUAAGAUUAGAAGGGUCUGAAACAAUAAGCAUUUCUACCAUGGAAUAUUGCAUUAGUACCUACCUGGGAAGUAACGGUGAACAUUUGAGAUCUCUCAUUAUUUGAAAGAUUUAAAUAAAAAGCCAGGGUCUUCCUUUUAUUUGAUAAAGAAUUGUAAAUGAAAGAAUUUAUUUGAAAUCAUAUUAUAUACAUGUGACCUUCUUUUGUUUGUCUUUUUAGGUGGCAUCCUUAGCUGGGCCUGGAGGACAAGUGGAAAUAGAACAGAACUUUCUUAAUAAUAAACUAAAGACAAUCACUGCUUAUUUUGGUGACUUAAUCAGAAGACCAGAGUCUAAAACCUAAACUGUGAAGCAGGACAAGGAUAAAGAUCAUGUAAUAAUAAGAACAUUUUUCAUAUGAAACACACAAAAUGUCUUCCUGUAUUCGCUGAUAUUUUAUACCCACAGUCUUAAAUCACCAUGUGAUAUGGAAACUUUCUGAGUUUAACAAAUAUUAAUGAAGUUUUGAGACAUUUGGAUGAUAUUAACUAUGGACUGUCUAUUGUACAGAAAGUUAGUAACCAUCUGAUAUGAAAAGAGUAUAGACUUGCCCCUGUGCUGAAUUUCAUUGUGUGUCUGUGUAAAUAUGGGGUUUUUUUUUAAUAUAUUGGUUUAAUAUCUUUGUGUGUGUGUAUGUAUGUAUAUACAUGUGUAUAAAAAAUAAUUGCUGUAUUUUUUUAACAGAAAUGCAAAGAAAACAAUGAACAAGUUAUAUUCUAUAUCCUGUUUAGCUGCUACUGAAAUAAUGUUAUACAUUUAAAGUCUCCCACCCUCUUCUCGGUCCUUUAUUAUCUCUCUAAAGAUAAUCACAGCAAACAGUGUAUAUAGUUUCUUUGGGAGAAUAGAAAGGAAUUAGAGUGUACCCUAAUGUGCUCUUGUCUCCAUUGAUACACUGUUCAGUAACCUUCCUUGUUUUUACUUAAUGUACCUUUUUUAAAAAAGCAGAAACCUUAUCAGUUUAUCUUGAAAACCUUUCCUUGUCAGUACAUAAAGAUAGAUCUACCUUAUUCUUUUUUAAUGACUAUUUUGUAUUCCAUCUUACGAAUAUGCCAUAAUUAAUUAAACCAGUUCCCUAUUGAUGGACACUUGGACUCUUCAGGUUUUUGCACUUACCAACUGUUUUGCACUGUCCUUAAGUAAAUUGGUUAACUUCUAGAAGUUAGGUAUCCAGGGGUUUGUGCAUUUUAAUUUUGAUAGAUACAAAUUGUCUUGAUAAAAUUGAACCAACUUUCAGACUUUAGACUUUCUUCUAGAAUUUUUUUCUUUUCUUCAUCUUGAAUUUGCUUUUUUAACAUCAUUUUAGCUUAUAAAGUUAGUAUUUUUAAGAUUUCCAUUGCAAAAUCAAUGUGAAAUAUAUUUUGUAAUACAGAAAUAUAUGUUCUUUUUCUAUUAAAAUGGCAGUGAAAGGAGAAAGAAUGUAUUGCUUAAUUAUUCAUUUAGCAGGGUGUUCAGUCAUUUUUAUAAGUAGGUAAGAAAUGAUGUACAGCUUCUAACCAUUGAGGGUUAGAGCUGGGAUAAUGUCAGCAUGUGAAGCAUCAAGCAAAACAUGAUUUUGAAUAAGAUAGGGUUAGAUAAAAUGAAAUAACUUGGAGGAAUUUUCAAUAAGCACUGAAAAACUAGACAAAAAAACUUGCUGAGGGUAUAGCUUAGCGAUAGAGCUAAGUGUUUUUUAAUUAUGCCAACAUUAGUCAUCAACAGUUCUGUAUAUGACCCCUAGACCUGGAAGAGUGACAAGAUGGGUAAAAGUAGAUUUUCAAAAUUACCAGUUUUUUUGUCACAAUAUUUCAUUCAUACACUUCUUUCUGUUGUGCAUAGUCUUACUUGUAUUUAAUAUUAAUAUUAAAACUAAUUUGCAUUCCUGAAUACAUAUGACCAUGUAUGAGUAGAAAAAGAAGCCUAACCAAGACCUAAAGUAUUCUUGUCCCCUCAGUGAUAUAGCUAAUUUACACA